rnacentral:rRNA from 1 species
UACGUAGGGGGCAAGCGUUGUCCGGAUUUAUUGGGCGUAAAGAGCGUGUAGGCGGUUAGGUAGGUCCGUUGUGAAAACUCGAGGCUCAACCUCGAGACGCCGAUGGAAACCAUCUAACUAGAGUCCGGAAGAGGAGAGUGGAAUUCCUGGUGUAGCGGUGAAAUGCGCAGAUAUCAGGAAGAACACCCGUGGCUAAGGCGGCUCUCUAGUACGGUACUGACGCUGAUGCACGAAAGCUAGGGGAGCAAACAGG